rnacentral:rRNA from 1 species
AACGUACGCUGGCGGCACGCCUAACACAUGCAAGUCGAACGAAGUAGCAAUACUUAGUGGCAGACGGGUGAGUAACAUGUAGGUAUCUGCCCUUUGGCCUGGAAUAACACGAGGAAACUUGUGCUAAUACCGGAUAAGUCUUUACGGAGAAAGCUUUAUGCACCAUUGGAUGAGCCUGCACUUGAUUAGUUUGUUGGUGGGGUAAUGGCCUACCAAGACUGUGAUCAAUAGCUGAUUUGAGAGGAUGAUCAGCCACAUUGGGACUGAGACACGGCCCAAACUCCUACGGGAGGCAGCAGUGGGGAAUCUUGCACAAUGGAGGAAACUCUGAUGCAGCGAUGCCGCGUGAGUGAAGAAGGCCCUUGGGUUGUAAAGCUCUUUCGUCGGGGAAGAAAAUGACUGUACCCGAAUAAGAAGGUCCGGCUAACUUCGUGCCAGCAGCCGCGGUAAUACGAAGGGACCUAGCGUAGUUCGGAAUUACUGGGCUUAAAGAGUUCGUAGGUGGUUGAAAAAGUUAGUGGUGAAAUCCCAGAGCUUAACUCUGGACCUGCCAUUAAAACUUUUCAGCUAGAGUAUGAUAGAGGAAAGCAGAAUUUCUAGUGUAGAGGUGAAAUUCGUAGAUAUUAGAAAGAAUACCAAUUGCGAAGGCAGCUUUCUGGAUCAUUACUGACACUGAGGAACGAAAGCAUGGGUAGCGAAGAGGAUUAGAUACCCUCGUAGUCCAUGCCGUAAACGAUGUGUGUUAGACGUUGGAAAUUUAUUUUCAGUGUCGCAGGGAAACCGAUAAACACACCGCCUGGGGAGUACGACCGCAAGGUUAAAACUCAAAUGAAUUGACGGGGACCCGCACAAGUAGUGGAGCAUGUGGUUUAAUUCGAAGAUACGCGCAGAACCUUACCAACACUUGACAUGUUCGUCGCGACUCUAAGAGAUUAGAGUUUUCGGUUCGGCCGGACGAAACACAGGUGCUGCAUGGCUGUCGUCAGCUCGUGUCGUGAGAUGUUGGGUUAAGUCCCGCAACGAGCGCAACCCUCACUUUUAGUUGCCAUCAUUAAGUUGGGCACUCUGAAAGAACUGCCAGUGAUAAGCUGGAGGAAGGUGGGGAUGACGUCAAGUCCUCAUGGCCCUUACGUGUUGGGCUACACACGUGCUACAAUGGUAUCUACAACAGGAAGCAAGACUGCGAAGUUAAGCAAAUCCCUAAAAGAUACCUCAGUUCGGAUUGCACUCUGCAACUCGAGUGCAUGAAGCUGGAAUUACUAGUAAUCGUGGAUCAGCGUGCCACGGUGAAAUGCGUUCCCGGGUCU